rnacentral:rRNA from 1 species
AGGCAAUAGAUACCCUGGUAGUCCCAGCAGUAAACGGUGCGCGUUUGGUGUGAGCAGAUUCGACUCUGUUCGCGCCGGAGCUAACGCGUUAAACGCGCCGCCUGGGAAGUACGAUCGCAAGAUUAAAACUCAAAGAAAUUGACGGGGGCCCGCACAAGCGGUGGAGUAUGUGGCUUAAUUCGAUGCAACGCGAAGAACCUUACCUGGGUUUGACAUGCAUCUCUAAGGAGGUGAAAGCUUCCGAGGGUAGCAAUACCCGAUUUGCACAGGUGCUGCAUGGCUGUCGUCAGCUCGUGUCGUGAGAUGUUGGGUUAAGUCCCGCAACGAGCGCAACCCUUGUAUGCUGUUGCUAUGCUUACGCAUAGCUCUCUGCGUAGACUGCCCCGUGAAACGGGGAGGAAGGUGGGGAUGACGUCAAGUCAGCAUGGCCCUUACACCCAGGGCUGCACACGUACUACAAUGCUCAGUACAAUUAGAACCUGCCCCGCGAGGGUUGGGAAAUCAGCG